AGUGAACGUUGGUGGCGUGGAUUAGGCAUGCAAGUCGAGCGAGAACCGUAGCAAUACGGGGACAGCGGCGAAAGGGACAGUAAUGUGUAGGUACCUACCUCCGGGUUCGGGAUAGCCGCGGGAAACUGCAGGUAAUACCGAAUAACGUCUCCGGACCAAAGGUGUGAUUCCACCUGGAGAGGGGCCUGCAUCCUAUUAGCUUGUUGGCGGGGUAACGGCCCACCAAGGCGACGAUGGGUAGCGGGUGUGAGAGCACGACCCGCGUCAUUGGGACUGAGACACUGCCCAGACACCUACGGGUGGCUGCAGUCGUGAAUCUUCGGCAAUGGGCGCAAGCCUGACCGAGCGACGCCGCGUGCGGGAUGAAGGCCUUCGGGUUGUAAACCGCUGUCGUAGAGGAGGAAAUGCAGGGGGGUUCUCCCCUCUGUUUGACCUAUUCUAGGAGGAAGUACGGGCUAAGUUCGUGCCAGCAGCCGCAGUAA
rnacentral:rRNA from 1 species